rnacentral:rRNA from 1 species
UACGGAGGGUGCAAGCGUUAAUCGGAAUUACUGGGCGUAAAGCGCACGCAGGUGGCUGAGAAAGUCGAUUGUGAAAGCCCUGGGCUUAACCUGGGAAUUGCAGUCGAAACUACUCGGCUAGAGUAUGGGAGAGGGUAGUGGAAUUCCCAGUGUAGCGGUGAAAUGCGUAGAUAUUGGGAGGAACACCAGUGGCGAAGGCGGGUCUCUGGGCCGAAAUUGACGCUGAGGAGCGAAAGCGUGGGGAGCAAACAGG